UACGUAGGGUGCAAGCGUUGUCCGGAAUUAUUGGGCGUAAAGAGCUCGUAGGCGGUCUGUUGCGUCGGCUGUGAAAACCCGGGGCUCAACUCCGGGCCUGCAGCCGAUACGGGCAGACUAGAGUUCGGCAGGGGAGACUGGAAUUCCUGGUGUAGCGGUGAAAUGCGCAGAUAUCAGGAGGAACACCGAUGGCGAAGGCAGGUCUCUGGGCCGAUACUGACGCUGAGGAGCGAAAGCGUGGGGAGCGAACAGG
rnacentral:rRNA from 1 species